CCUACGGGAGGCAGCAGUGGGGAAUCUUGCGCAAUGGGCGAAAGCCUGACGCAGCAACGCCGCGUGCGGGAAGAAGGCUUUCGGGCUGUAAACCGCUUUCAGCAGGAACGAAAAUGACGGUACCUGCAGAAGAAGGAGCGGCCAACUAUGUGCCAGCAGCCGCGGUGAUACAUAGGCUUCAAGCGUUGUCCGGAUUUAUUGGGCGUAAAGAGUUCGUAGGCGGUCGAGUAAGUCGGGUGUGAAAAUUCUGGGCUCAACCCAGAGACGCCACCCGAUACUGCUUGACUUGAGUUCGAUAGGGGAGUGGGGAAUUCCUAGUGUAGCGGUGAAAUGCGCAGAUAUUAGGAGGAACACCGGUGGCGAAGGCGCCACUCUGGAUCGAUACUGACGCUGAGGAACGAAAGCAUGGGUAGCAAACAGGAUUAGAUACCCUGGUAGUCCAUGCCGUAAACGGUGGGCACUAGGUGUGGGUUUCUAUUAACGAAAUCCGCGCCGUCGCUAACGCAUUAAGUGCCCCGCCUGGGGAGUACGGUCGCAAGACUAAACUUAAAGGAAUUGAACGG
rnacentral:rRNA from 1 species